GUCCGACGCGGCCAAGGGUCAAGAUCAAGUUAUCUGCAUCUCCUGCGCUCCAUCAAGCCACUCCAAUAAUAGCCGUCACCACUCAAAUGAAUGCACGGCUCAGAUUAACUGUACAGC